GAAAUUCAAAACAAAAGGAAAUGGGCCAUUUUUCUUAUUUGCUUGGGCCACAACCUUCCAAGCCCAACCAAAGCCCAAAGCAAAACAAGCAAGCCAGCCCAUCUUAAGUCUAAUCAAAAUUCCACUAAAAACAUAUGGGCUUUAUCUCUCAAGCCCAUGUCAACAACCCAGAAAAAUCAAUCAUUAAUCCAUUUGUUAAACCCGAACAAUAGGUCCAGACCCAAACCGAAUUAUAUCUUAUGAGAAGCCCAACAAGAUAAAACCCAACUAAAAAAAUUGCAUUGAACCCCAAAAUUAAUCUAUCCAAAGUCACAUAAAGUCGUAUUAAAGAAGAAAACGUUUGGAGGGACAAAAUUGGUUAAAUUAUUUGAUUCUCUGAUUCAAGACAGAACAAAAGGCAGCUUGAGGGGUUCAAAUGCAACCAAAGCAGGGACUUAAUUGGAGGAAUCAUGAAGACUUUGGGGUCGAAAUUAAAGAAAAGCAACGUCCAGGGGUCAAUUUACAAAUUUCCAGAUUUUUUGCAAACAAAUGGUUCACUGAAUCCUUCUUCUUCAACGAAUUUCACCAGAAUUUCAUCUCCUUUUAUUCCAAAAGAAACAAAACUCACACAAACUCAAAUCACGCAACAAAGUCC
rnacentral:lncRNA from 1 species